GGGGGUGUCUUGGUUUCGACAGGCUAUGAUUUGGUUAAGAAAGCAUGCCGUGUGGCGACGUAAUUGCCAAAAACAAAUAAAUAACAACAAUAGAUUAAACGCUGUAGCUUUUGCCUAGUUAAUACUAGCUCCUAAUAAUUGGAGACAGCACGUUAGCCAGUUAUUACCUAUCAUAAUUGGAACUAACGUCAUUUUGAUAGGUUAAGACUUUAUGAUGACUAUAAAUAAAGUAUGAAAAAUUAUAGUAUCGUCUUUAAAUUUUUUGUUGUUUUAGAUUUAUUGAUUAAAUAAUUAAAAUAACUAAGCAUGUAGAUGUCUUAAUGGGGUCUAGUUUGGACGGGGAUUCGAUUUCCCUCACCUCCACCA
rnacentral:tmRNA from 1 species